CAUUUGUAAUUUUAAACCUGAACAGUAAAGGAGUCCCCUAAACAAUGUUAAACAAUAAACUCCAUUGAGGAUCUAUGUAUCUCCCUUACCCAGGUUUUUGGUCUUUUUGGUACUGUUAAUGUCUUCUAUACGUACACAGAGGCGGCUUCAACAACAAUAUCUUGCCAUCUUUAAAUCACUGAAAUGAUCCAUUAACAAUAUAAUUUUCCUUACUUACAUAUUCCAUCAUAGAGCAUACAAAAGAAAAAAUAGAUCAGUGAAUGUAGACAUC